rnacentral:sRNA from 1 species
UUUUUUUUUUUUUUUGAUCAAAGAUUCAUUCUAAAUACCAUGUCCAUAAUAACAGGAGAUUCGAUUAACCGUGGUUUAUAAAGAAACCAAAGUUCCAUGUCCAUAAGGUCUUGGAAGUGGAGGUCUCUUCUAACUGAAAGAAAAAUUAACAAACAAUUUUUUGGUGUCCAUAAUAACAAGUCAAUUUAAAUAUAUCCAUUCAGAAACCUUUCUACUGAUCUAUAUACAUUCUAUAUACCAUGUCAAUGAUAACCUUUUUACUGCUCUAUAUCCAUUAUGUAUACCAUGUCCAUAAUAACAGGAAAUUCGAUUAACCGGAAUCUCGAUGCUACAUAGAUGAAACGAGUUUGACACAUGAGAGAGAACAAAAAUCAAAUCAAGCCGCCAUUGUUGAAGAAGAAGAGUUUCUUAGAUAACUGAAUCUCAAAUUUAUCUCAAAACAAAUAUUU